UUGAGGCAAAGGAGUUAAAAGGAGUUUCUAAUUUUAUACCUGAAAAUAGCUUUCACUGGAUGUUUUUUCUCAAGCUUUAUAAUUAAGAUUGGAGAUCUCGUGGGUAUUUUAAUACGUACUCAAAUAUGUCCAAACAGCCAGAGGGGAAGUGAAUGACCAACUGGGUAGGCUGAUGAAUAUUUUCCUGGUAAAUGCAUAACUUUCCCCACAACUGUGAUGCUUUAUCCUUUGACAUUAAGAAUGCUGUUUGCAGAAGUAACAUUCCUUUGAACACUCAGCUUUCUGAAAUGGUGUCCCACCGCAAGGACUGGAGAAGGGCCAUGAGAGAAGCAGUACCUUAUAAUGGUUCCUUGUUCAAAGCACUCAAUAUUCCUAGGAUGUGGUCUCCCAGCUGACUUCAUAACUGAAUCAUCAGUAAUUAAUUUCAUUGUUCUAUUAGGACUUUACUGAAGACUCUAAGGAGGACCUGUAUCUGUUGGGAUCCUCAGGGCAAGCCACAGAAACAAGCUUUGGAUACUAGAAGCAGAAAAUGGAGAUAUUGAAGACUAUUGUGGAGUUUACUGUGAGCCAGAGAACCAGGCUGGGGGGCUGUAUCACUUAGAAUGAGAUCCAAACUCACACCAUAGUUCCAUCCUUGAGGUUGCCAUGUUGCUGCCACCCCUCCUGCCACCCCACCACUGAAGCUUUGGAUGCUGGAUUCUGGGCACAGCAGGGAGAAGUGUUGCUUAUUACCAUUUUAGUAUGUUUUCUUUCAAGACCUUUUCAAAAUAUACAUACGUAUUUUUAUUUCUAUUCAAAAUGGGAUACAUUUUUGAAGGUUAGCAAUAUAUUGUGAACAUUUUCUUUCCAUGCUCAGAAACAUUUUUCUAUAAUGUAAUUUAUAGUGAUAUAAACUAUCUCAUAGACCUACCAUAGUUUACCUAACAAAUCCCAAAUCAUUUGUGCCAUUUCUAAAUUUUUAUUAUUUUAUGUAAUGCUUUAAUGAACAUCCUUGCAUUUAUAUUUUAUACAAUUUUAGAAGUGGAAUUACUGGUUCAAAAUACAUGGUGAUUUUUAAUUCUUCUGUUGAAUAUUGACAAAUUGCAAUCCUGAGAGUUAUCUUGAAGGAUAGAGUACAUGCCCAGGGUUCUUUUUUAAGAAAUAAUUUGUAAUGUGAAACAGAAUAGGCUAAAUGUUUUUUAUUCUCUUAGUCCUACUCUGUCAUUCUGCAGAGUUUCACUUAUUUGGAUUCAAAUUCUAAUUCCAGCCUACCUCUCUUUUUAUAUAAUUGUUAGGAGGAUUAAAUUAGAUGCAUAAAAUUGCUGCUUACUACAUACAUUGCACAAACUAAAAACUUUUCAAAGGUUAACUGUUUUUCUGGUUUAUUUUUAAGACACAGGUUCUUGCUCUGUUGCCCAGGCUGGAGUGCAGUGGUGUGAUCACGGCUCACUAUAGCCUCAUCCUGCUGCACUGAAGUGAUCCUCUUGCCUCAGCCUCCUGAGUAGCUAGGACUACAGGCACGUGCCACCAUACCCAGCUAUUUUUUUAAAAAUACAUUUUUGUUGAGGCUGGGUCCCCUUUGUUGUCCAGGCUGGUCUUAAGCUCCUGGCCUCAAGCAAUCCUUCCACUUCUACCUCCCAAAGUGUUGAGAUUAGAGGUGUGAGCCACUCCACCUGACCCAAAGGUUAACUAUUAUUAUUGUUAUUAUUAGUCUGUUUUUUUCCAUUCAUUUCCUCAUUAGUCAACUUUUAUUGUUUCAAUGUUAUUUUAUUGUUUUUCAAAGACUCCUUAUAGUCACAAUAUGUACAUAAUAAAUUUUACCCUUUAAGGACACUGAGGUUCCAAAUGAAAAUGAUAUUUUUAAGGUGAAACAAUUAUAGAUAGAAAAACAACUUUUUUUUCUGUGAGUACUAGAUUUCAUAUUAUCCUUAAUGUCUUUCUAGGUAGUAACCAAGUGAUUUCUCAUAAACUGGAAAACAUUAUUCCCACUGAUAUUCUUAAAAACAUUUAGGAUUAAAAAAUGUAUUUUAAAUUCUUCUUGACAGAAAUCAUUUAUUGCAAUUACAUUGCCAAUUCAUAUAUAUAUUACAUAUAUGUCACCUUGACUUAUAGUAACCUGAAGGGGAAAUUUGUAGGUUUAGCAAAUCCCUUCGAGUAACACCCACAGAACUGAAAUCUUAUUCCAUUUCUUGGUGGUCUUCUACCAAUCCAGUCCUCCUGAGGACCAUAAAAACUAUUGGUUCCUCUCCUAAACUGCUGUAAAAUAUAUCCUGUGAGACCCAGGGGAAAAUCUUUCUGAGGUUGAGCAUUCCAUGGAGACUCAAUAUUCCAGAUUUUGAAAUGUAGCUAGAAGUGGAAAUGGAUUUAUUUCUCAGGAUCUCUUUGUUCAUAAUUAAGGAUAUAAAAAAUAGAGUUCAGAAUGUGAGUGAAAUGUAACUGAAAAGGAAAGCCUUGAUUUUACAUAUAAAAUAUCUUUACCAGAUGGGUGAAGUAAGGUAACUUAAGACAAUACUUAAAAUUCAAUAACAAUGAUGAAACUAUGAAAUACAAAACUUCUGGCACCCAUAAGCUAGUUCCUAGAAAGAAGGUUAUCAUAUAUUGUUAAUGUGUUCACACACUUAACAAAUAUUAAUGUGUUCAUUACAUUUAAGGCAUGAGAACUUACACAUCAUUCAAUGGUGAUAUUAAUAAUAAUUCAGUAAUCAUUAAUGAUGUACAUGCUGUUAAUAACCACAG
rnacentral:lncRNA from 1 species